rnacentral:rRNA from 1 species
GAUGAACGCUGGCGGCGUGCCUAGUACAUGCAAGUCGAGCGAACAGACGAGGAGCUUGCUCCUCUGACGUUAGCGGCGGACGGGUGAGUAACACGUGGAUAACCUACCUAUAAGACUGGGAUAAAUUCGGGAAACCGGAGCUAAUACCGGAUAACAUGUUGAACCGCAUGGUUCAACAGUGAAAGACGGUCUUGCUGUCACUUAUAGAUGGAUCCGCGCCGCAUUAGCUAGUUGGUAAGGUAACGGCUUACCAAGGCAACGAUGCGUAGCCGACCUGAGAGGGUGAUCGGCCACACUGGAACUGAGACACGGUCCAGACUCCUACGGGAGGCAGCAGUAGGGAAUCUUCCGCAAUGGGCGAAAGCCUGACGGAGCAACGCCGCGUGAGUGAAGAAGGUCUUCGGAUCGUAAAACUCUGUUAUUAGGGAAGAACAAAUGUGUAAGUAACUAUGCACGUCUUGACGGUACCUAAUCAGAAAGCCACGGCUAACUACGUG